rnacentral:rRNA from 3 species
AAAUUGAAGAGUUUGAUCAUGGCUCAGAUUGAACGCUGGCGGCAGGCCUAACACAUGCAAGUCGAACGGUAACAGGAAGCAGCUUGCUGCUUUGCUGACGAGUGGCGGACGGGUG